CUUGGUCAUUUAGAGGAAGUAUGGGCGGACAAGGUUUCCGUAGGUGAACCUGCGGAAGGAUCAAAAAC
rnacentral:rRNA from 1 species